rnacentral:rRNA from 1 species
GAUCAUGGCUCAGGAUGAACGCUAGCGGCAGGCUUAACACAUGCAAGUCGGAGGGGCAGCAUAAUGGAUAGCAAUAUCUAUGGUGGCGACCGGCGCACGGGUGCGUAACGCGUAUGCAACCUACCUUUAACGAGGGGGAUAACACUGAGAAAUUGGUACUAACUACCCCAUAACAUCAUGAAAGGCAUCUUUUAUGGUUAGAAAAUUCCGAUGGUUAGAGAUGGGCAUGCGUUU